CCCCCAUAGAUUCCUUACCCAUCAGAUCUGCACAUUUGUCUGAGUAGAUAUGAAAGGGAAAUGCACACUGAAACAGACUUGGACUCUCUUGCAACAGACAAGUUUGUUUCAAAUAAAC
rnacentral:snoRNA from 1 species